rnacentral:rRNA from 1 species
AGUUCGAUCAUGGCUCAGAUUGAACGCUGGCGGGAUGCUUUACACAUGCAAGUCGAACGGCAGCACGGACUUCGGUCUGGUGGCGAGUGGCGAACGGUGAAAGAAGGUAUCGGAACGUGCCUAGUAAGUAGAUACACCACGCUACAGCGUAGCUAAUAUCAGGACAGUGCCUUCGGGGGAAAGUGGGACCUCUGGGCCUUCGCACUAAUAGAGCGGCCGAUAUCGGAUUAGCUAGUUGGUGGGGUAACGGCUCACCAAGUUGCGACGAUCCGUAGCUGGUUUGAGAGGACGACCAGCCACACUGGGAUUCACACGGCCCAGACUCCUACGGGAGGUAGCAGUGGGGAAUUUUGACAAUGGGGGAAACCCUGAUCCAGCCAUCCUGCAAGAUGAAGGCCUUCGUUGUAAAGCACUUUUGGCAGGAAAGAACGGCAAUGGAUAACACCCUGCAGACCCGACGGCACCUGCACAGCACCGGCUAACUACGUGCCAGCAGCCGCGGUAAUACGUAGGGUGCAAGCGUUAAUCGGAAUUACUGGGCGUAAAGCGUGUGCAGGCGGUUCGGAAAGAAAGAUGAAAUCCCAGAGCUUAACUUUGGAACUGCAUUUUUAACUACCGAGCUAGAGUGUGUCAGAGGGAGGUGGAAUUCCGCGUGUAGCAGUGAAAUUGCGUAGAUAUGCGGAGGAACACCGAUGGCGAAGGCAGCCUCCUGGAUAAUGACUGACGCUCAUGCACGAAAGCGUGGGCUUAAACAGUAAUAGAUACCCUGGUAGUCCACGCCCUAAACGAUGUCAACUAGCUGUUGGGGCCUUCGCCUGGUAGCGCAGCUAACGCGUAAAGUUGACCGCCUGGAUACGGCCGCAAGAUUAAAACUCAAAGGAAUUGACGGUGACCGCACAAGCGGUGGAUGAUGUGGAUUAAUUCGGCAACGCGAAAAACCUUACCUACCCUUGACAUGUUCAACCUGAAGAGAUUUGGGGAUGCCCGCAGAACCGGAACACAGGUGCGUACGGCUGUCGUCAGCUCGUGCCGGAGAUGGGUUAAGUCCCGCAACGAGCGCAACCCUUGUCAACACGAAAGGGCACUCUAUCGAGACUGCCGCACAAACCGGAGGAAGGUGUGGGAUACGUCAAGCCCUGCGGCUCCUUAUGGGUAGGGCUUCACACGUCAUACAAUGGUCGGGACAGAGGGUCGCCAACCCGCGAGGGGGAGCCAAUCCCAGAAACCCGAUCGUAGUCCGGAUCGCAGUCUGCAACUCGACUGCGUGAAGUCGGAACGCUAGUAAUCGCGGAUCAGCAUGUCGCGGUGAACACGUUCCCGGCCCGCGGUACACACCGCCGGCCGCCUGCUGGGAGUGGGUUUUACCAGAAGUAGUUAGCCUAACCGUAAGGAGGGAAGGAUUACCACGGUAGGAUUCAUGACUGGGGUGAAGUCGUAACAAGGUAG